rnacentral:tRNA from 1 species
GGAGAGGUGUCCGAGAGGUCGAAGGAGCAUGCCUGGAAAGUAUGUAUGCCCCUAAAGGGCAUCGAGGGUUCGAAUCCCUUCCUCUCCGCAA